rnacentral:lncRNA from 1 species
AGGCAGCCCAGCCUGGACCAGCAACCCAACCUGCUUCUUCAGAGCAAAACAAGAACUAGGAAUCAUCUUUUCACCUGGGAAGGAAUCAAGUAAAAAGCAAAAUUGAACUAAAGGUUGUUUACCUUUCAAACUUGGUGGCCAUGUUGUGAGGAAGCCCAAGUGACAUGAGGAGUUCCCGUGGAGGUGUGCUGCUGACAGCCCCAGGUGAGAGCUCAGCCAAGAAUCAGCACAACACUGUGAGUGCAAACAUGUGAGUGAGUGAGCUUGCAGAGGAUGUGAUCCCACCUAGGAUGUCAGCAUUCAAGACACCCUAGCUGACACUGAGUGAGUAUAGGUGAAGAACAUUUACAACAGUGAUAAUAGAAAACUUGUCAUAAGUUUUUAAUUUGUGCUGUAAUUACACUCUGAUAUUCCCAAAUCUUCAAUAAAAAUCCAUUGUACAGUAAAAC